rnacentral:rRNA from 1 species
GAUGAACGCUGGCGGCGUGCCUAAUACAUGCAAGUCGAGCGAACGGACGAGAAGCUUGCUUCUCUGAUGUUAGCGGCGGACGGGUGAGUAACACGUGGAUAACCUACCUAUAAGACUGGGAUAACUUCGGGAAACCGGAGCUAAUACCGGAUAAUAUUUUGAACCGCAUGGUUCAAAAGUGAAAGACGGUCUUGCUGUCACUUAUAGAUGGAUCCGCGCUGCAUUAGCUAGUUGGUAAGGUAACGGCUUACCAAGGCAACGAUGCAUAGCCGACCUGAGAGGGUGAUCGGCCACACUGGAACUGAGACACGGUCCAGACUCCUACGGGAGGCAGCAGUAGGGAAUCUUCCGCAAUGGGCGAAAGCCUGACGGAGCAACGCCGCGUGAGUGAUGAAGGUCUUCGGAUCGUAAAACUCUGUUAUUAGGGAAGAACAUAUGUGUAAGUAACUGUGCACAUCUUGACGGUACCUAAUCAGAAAGCCACGGCUAACUACGUGCCAGCAGCCGCGGUAAUACGUAGGUGGCAAGCGUUAUCCGGAAUUAUUGGGCGUAAAGCGCGCGUAGGCGGUUUUUUAAGUCUGAUGUGAAAGCCCACGGCUCAACCGUGGAGGGUCAUUGGAAACUGGAAAACUUGAGUGCAGAAGAGGAAAGUGGAAUUCCAUGUGUAGCGGUGAAAUGCGCAGAGAUAUGGAGGAACACCAGUGGCGAAGGCGACUUUCUGGUCUGUAACUGACGCUGAUGUGCGAAAGCGUGGGGAUCAAACAGGAUUAGAUACCCUGGUAGUCCACGCCGUAAACGAUGAGUGCUAAGUGUUAGGGGGUUUCCGCCCCUUAGUGCUGCAGCUAACGCAUUAAGCACUCCGCCUGGGGAGUACGACCGCAAGGUUGAAACUCAAAGGAAUUGACGGGGACCCGCACAAGCGGUGGAGCAUGUGGUUUAAUUCGAAGCAACGCGAAGAACCUUACCAAAUCUUGACAUCCUUUGACAACUCUAGAGAUAGAGCCUUCCCCUUCGGGGGACAAAGUGACAGGUGGUGCAUGGUUGUCGUCAGCUCGUGUCGUGAGAUGUUGGGUUAAGUCCCGCAACGAGCGCAACCCUUAAGCUUAGUUGCCAUCAUUAAGUUGGGCACUCUAAGUUGACUGCCGGUAACAAACCGGAGGAAGGUGGGGAUGACGUCAAAUCAUCAUGCCCCUUAUGAUUUGGGCUACACACGUGCUACAAUGGACAAUACAAAGGGCAGCGAAACCGCGAGGUCAAGCAAAUCCCAUAAAGUUGUUCUCAGUUCGGAUUGUAGUCUGCAACUCGACUACAUGAAGCUGGAAUCGCUAGUAAUCGUAGAUCAGCAUGCUACGGUGAAUACGUUCCCGGGUCU